rnacentral:rRNA from 1 species
CUUACGGGCGGCAGCAGUGAGGAAUAUUGGUCAAUGGCCGGAAGGCUGAACCAGCCAUGCCGCGUGAAGGUCAGUGCCCUAUGGGUUGUAAACUUCUUUUAUAAAGGAAUAAAACGAGGCACGUGUGCCUUUUUGCAUGUACUUUAUGAAUAAGGAUCGGCUAACUCCGUGCAAGCAGCCGCGGUAAUACGGAGGAUCCGAGCGUUAUCCGGAUUUAUUGGGUUUAAAGGGAGCGUAGAUGGGUUGUUAAGUCAGUUGUGAAAGUUUGCGGCUCAACCGUAAAAUUGCAAUUGAUACUGGCAGUCUUGAGUACAGUUGAGGUAGGCGGAAUUCGUGGUGUAGCGGUGAAAUGCUUAGAUAUCACGAAGAACCCCGAUUGCGAAGGCAGCUUACUAAACUGUGACUGACAUUGAUGCUCGAAAGUGUGGGUAUCAAACAGGAUUAGAUACCCCUGUAGUC